CCAAAUUCAGUGACUGUAGCCCUGUUCUACCUAUUGUCUGACAUAUAAAGACAUUUAUUUCAUACAGUGUGUUGAUUUUUCUAGUUGUUUGUUGCAGGAUAAUAAAGCCAGGCCUUGCUCCUCCAAGGUGUCUUCAUCACUAGAAGUUCUGAGCAUAAGAGUUAUGCUCCUGAUGGAGCCAUCCUCUCCCCGUGAAGGGACCCUGCCACACACUGGAGGCCAGCACUAGCCACCCUGAUUGUGUUAUGCUGCUCUCCUGUGACCUCUCUUCCUUGUUCUUCUGAUCACAACUACUAUCCAAUAUUUGACUCCUCUAUAUGGAAGAGAGCUUACAGGCACUUUGCUUUAUAGUUUUUCUCAUGCUCUCUGUGGCAAAUGCACAGAAAAUGAAAUAAAUAAAUAUGAAUGACUGAGUUUUUAUAACAUCACAUUAAACUUACAGAGAAUCUUCACAUCCACAUUUGUGCGUGUUUACUAAGACUGAGACUGGGAGAACUUAGCUGAAAAGAUUUAACAUCAUCUUGAAAUGGAAUCGUGACUGGCAGGGACAGUGUGCAAUGAGAAACAAUGCUUGGGUCUAGGUUGGAAAUGGAAUCUACAGCGGCUUUUCUUGUUCCCUUGGAGAAUACAAUCAUGGGAAGAACUAUAUUCCAUUGAUCUUUGCACUGGAACACCGGAUGCAUUUGCACACAAAGAUCUGCAUAAAAUGGGACAGGACAGGGACUGACUUUGCGGCACUGCAGGUUAAAGUGCUGCGUGGGAUGUUGGCAUCCCAUAGAGGAGAGCCUGUUCAAGUCUCGCCUGAUCUGCUUCCAGUCUAGCUUCUUGCUAAUAAAGCUCUUAGGAAAAGCA
rnacentral:lncRNA from 1 species